rnacentral:rRNA from 1 species
GAUGAACGCUGGCGGCGUGCCUAAUACAUGCAAGUCGAGCGAACGGACGAGAAGCUUGCUUCUCUGAUGUUAGCGGCGGACGGGUGAGUAACACGUGGAUAACCUACCUAUAAGACUGGGAUAACUUCGGGAAACCGGAGCUAAUACCGGAUGAUAUUUUGAACCGCAUGGUUCAAAAGUGAAAGACGGUCUUGCUGUCACUUAUAGAUGGAUCCGCGCUGCAUUAGCUAGUUGGUAAGGUAACGGCUUACCAAGGCAACGAUGCAUAGCCGACCUGAGAGGGUGAUCGGCCACACUGGAACUGAGACACGGUCCAGACUCCUACGGGAGGCAGCAGUAGGGAAUCUUCCGCAAUGGGCGAAAGCCUGACGGAGCAACGCCGCGUGAGUGAUGAAGGUCUUCGGAUCGUAAAACUCUGUUAUUAGGGAAGAACAUAUGUGUAAGUAACUGUGCACAUCUUGUCGGUACCUAAUCAGAAAGCCACGGCUAACUACGUG